AAUAAAAGAAGCCACUAUAAUUGUUAGGGGAAAACAAGUGACAACCUGAUAAUAGAAGAAUCUCUUCUGGCUAGAGAUAUCAAAUCUGUGAGCUAAAGGGAAGAACAAUGAAGACACUGGUUUAUUCUUUAUUCAUAUUCUUGUGGAUACAGCUGAGCUGUGUGAGCCAAGGAGAGAAGGUGGAGCAGCAUCCUUCUACCCUGAGUGUCCAGGAGGGAGACAGCAUUGUUAUCAACUGCACUUAUUCAGACAGUACUUCGGUCUACUUUCCUUGGUAUAAGCAAGAAGCUGGAAAAGGUCUCCAGAUGAUUAUAGACAUUCGUUCAAAUAAGGAGAUAAGUCAAAUCCAAAGAUUCAUUGUUGUGUUGGAUAAGAAAGCCAAACACUUCUCUCUGAACAUCACAGCCACCCAACCUGGAGACUCAGCUGUCUACUUCUGUGCAGCCAGUACACGAUGCUUCCCAGACACCUGCAGCCUGUACUCAAACCUGCCACUGGGCUGA